AGAAAUUUUCAAAGUGCAACAUUGGUCAACAUCUCAACCACAAGGAAAUUGCUUAUUUGUGCAGAGAAAAUCAAAAGCGUUUCUCAAUGGAAAUUUGUUGACGGUACGUAACUGAUGCAGAUGUUUAGCUAUGGUACUAUUGUCCAUAUACUUUAUGCUUCCAACUAAGUCACAAAUCUUGAAUAUUGCUCACCCCCCCCCCCAAUUAUCGCGUCUAGCUACGGCCCUGGAGGCAAAGAUGGUUCUGCCAUCCUGAAAAGCACUGCUGUCAUCAAUCAGGGCCUUUUUUAAGGAUUUUCCCGUGGGGGGACAUUUUUUGAAAAGGGACCUUUCUGUGAGAUAAUAUAUUAGAGGGGGAUAGCAACGGCUUAAAGCCACGUGUGUCGUCAAUAUACCACGCAUGAAUGGGGAAUCUGGGGGUGUACUCCCCCAGAAAAUGUUUGAAAUUUGACUCCCGGAAAUGUCAUUUCCUGCAUUCUGAGCAUCCAAAUUUGCUCCAAAAUUUAUCCUAACUAUACUUGUAUUUGAAAUAAAUAAAGGAAGAAACGCACAAAAAGUAAAAAAAUUAACCAUCAUUUAUCAUUACUUAUUAGAGGAGGAUAGCAAUGGUCAGGUGUGUGGGGGUGUACUCCCCCAGAAAAUUUUUGAAAUUUGAAGUACGGAAAUGCCAUUUCCUGCAUUCUGAGCAUCCAAAUUUGCUCUAAAAUUUAUGCUAACUAUAGUUGUAUUUGAAAUAAAAGAUGGAAAAAUGCACAAAAAGUAAAAAAGAAUAUUAACUGUAAUUUAUCAUUACUUAUUAGAGGGAUAAUCCCCAGAAAAUUUUUGAAAUUUGAAACCCGGAAAUGCUAUUUCCUGCAUUCUGAGCAUCCAAAAAAUAAAAAAAUUAUUAACAAUAAUUUAUCAUUACUUAGUGGUAGAAAAAAGUAACAAUUUAAAUCGAUUUUGUUAAACAAGAACAAAGGAUAAAGCCUAAAACUUACUUUCCGUUUAUGUAUUUGUUAAUCUUCGCUGGUUUGUUUGUAUAAUUUUAGGGAAAAGGGACUUUUCCUGGGGGGGCAAAAUGUGAUUUCGUG
rnacentral:lncRNA from 1 species